rnacentral:rRNA from 1 species
UGAAAUGAUAGAGUCAAGUGAAUAAGUGCAUCAGGCGGAUGCCUUGGCGAUGAUAGGCGACGAAGGACGUGUAAGCCUGCGAAAAGCGCGGGGGAGCUGGCAAUAAAGCAAUGAUCCCGCGGUGUCCGAAUGGGGAAACCCACUGCAUUCUGUGCAGUAUCCUAAGUUGAAUACAUAGGCUUAGAGAAGCGAACCCGGAGAACUGAACCAUCUAAGUACCCGGAGGAAAAGAAAUCAACCGAGAUUCCGCAAGUAGUGGCGAGCGAACGCGGAGGAGCCUGUACGUAAUAACUGUCGAGGUAGAAGAACAAGCUGGGAAGCUUGACCAUAGCGGGUGACAGUCCCGUAUUCGAAAUCUCAACAGCGGUACUAAGCGUACGAAAAGUAGGGCGGGACACGUGAAAUCCUGUCUGAAUAUGGGGGGACCAUCCUCCAAGGCUAAAUACUCAUCAUCGACCGAUAGUGAACCAGUACCGUGAGGGAAAGGCGAAAAGAACCCCGGGAGGGGAGUGAAACAGAACCUGAAACCUGAUGCAUACAAACAGUGGGAGCGCCCUAGUGGUGUGACUGCGUACCUUUUGUAUAAUGGGUCAACGACUUACAUUCAGUAGCGAGCUUAACCGGAUAGGGGAGGCGUAGGGAAACCGAGUCUUAAUAGGGCGAUGAGUUGCUGGGUGUAGACCCGAAACCGAGUGAUCUAUCCAUGGCCAGGUUGAAGGUGCCGUAACAGGUACUGGAGGACCGAACCCACGCAUGUUGCAAAAUGCGGGGAUGAGCUGUGGGUAGGGGUGAAAGGCUAAACAAACUCGGAGAUAGCUGGUUCUCCCCGAAAACUAUUUAGGUAGUGCCUCGAGCAAGACACUGAUGGGGGUAAAGCACUGUUAUGGCUAGGGGGUUAUUGCAACUUACCAACCCAUGGCAAACUCAGAAUACCAUCAAGUGGUUCCUCGGGAGACAGACAGCGGGUGCUAACGUCCGUUGUCAAGAGGGAAACAACCCAGACCGCCGGCUAAGGUCCCAAAUGAUAGAUUAAGUGGUAAACGAAGUGGGAAGGCACAGACAGCCAGGAUGUUGGCUUAGAAGCAGCCAUCAUUUAAAGAAAGCGUAAUAGCUCACUGGUCGAGUCGUCCUGCGCGGAAGAUGUAACGGGGCUCAAAUCUAUAACCGAAGCUGCGGAUGCCGGUUUACCGGCAUGGUAGGGGAGCGUUCUGUAGGCUGAUGAAGGUGCAUUGUAAAGUGUGCUGGAGGUAUCAGAAGUGCGAAUGUUGACAUGAGUAGCGAUAAAGCGGGUGAAAAGCCCGCUCGCCGAAAGCCCAAGGUUUCCUACGCAACGUUCAUCGGCGUAGGGUGAGUCGGCCCCUAAGGCGAGGCAGAAAUGCGUAGUCGAUGGGAAACAGGUUAAUAUUCCUGUACUUGAUUCAAAUGCGAUGUGGGGACGGAGAAGGUUAGGUUGGCAAGCUGUUGGAAUAGCUUGUUUAAGCCGGUAGGUGGAAGACUUAGGCAAAUCCGGGUUUUCUUAACACCGAAGAAGUGAUGACGAGUGUUUACGGACACGAAGCAACCGAUACCACGCUUCCAGGAAAAGCCACUAAGCUUCAGUUUGAAUCGAACCGUACCGCAAACCGACACAGGUGGGCAGGAUGAGAAUUCUAAGGCGCUUGAGAGAACUCGGGAGAAGGAACUCGGCAAAUUGAUACCGUAACUUCGGGAGAAGGUAUGCCCUCUAAGGUUAAGGACUUGCUCCGUAAGCCCCGGAGGGUCGCAGAGAAUAGGUGGCUGCGACUUGUUUAUUAAAAACACGAGCACUCUUGCCAACACGAAAGUGGACGUAUAGGGUGUAACGCCUGCCCGGUGCCGGAAGGUUAAUUGAAGAUGUGCAAGCAUCGGAUCGAAGCCCCGGUAAACGGCGGCCGUAACUAUAACGGUCCUAAGGUAGCGAAAUUCCUUGUCGGGUAAGUUCCGACCCGCACGAAUGGCGUAACGAUGGCCACACUGUCUCCUCCCGAGACUCAGCGAAGUUGAAGUGGUUGUGAAGAUGCAAUCUACCCGCUGCUAGACGGAAAGACCCCGUGAACCUUUACUGUAGCUUUGCAUUGGACUUUGAAGUCACUUGUGUAGGAUAGGUGGAAGGCUUGGAAGCAAAGACGCCAGUCUCUGUGGAGUCGUCCUUGAAAAUACCACCCUGGUGUCUUUGAGGUUCUAACCCAGACCCGUCAUCCGGGUCGGGGACCGUGCAUGGUAGGCAGUUUGACUGGGGCGGUCUCCUCCCAAAGCGUAACGGAGGAGUUCGAAGGUUACCUAGGUCCGGUCGGAAAUCGGACUGAUAGUGCAAUGGCAAAAGGUAGCUUAACUGCGAGACCGACAAGUCGGGCAGGUGCGAAAGCAGGACAUAGUGAUCCGGUGGUUCUGUAUGGAAGGGCCAUCGCUCAACGGAUAAAAGGUACUCCGGGGAUAACAGGCUUGAUUCCGCCCAAGAGUUCAUAUCGACGGCGGAGUUUGGCACCUCGAUGUCGGCUCAUCACAUCCUGGGGCUGUAGUCGGUCCCAAGGGUAUGGCUGUUCGCCAUUUUAAAGUGGUACGUGAGUUGGGUUUAAAACGUCGUGAGACAGUUUGGUCCCUAUCUGCAGUGGGCGUUGGAAGUUUGACGGGGGCUGCUCCUAGUACGAGAGGACCGGAGUGGACGAACCUCUGGUGUACCGGUUGUAACGCCAGUUGCAUAGCCGGGUAGCUAAGUUCGGAAGAGAUAAGCGCUGAAAGCAUCUAAGCGCGAAACUCGCCUGAAGAUGAGACUUCCCUUGCGGUUUAACCGCACUAAAGGGUCGUUCGAGACCAGGACGUUGAUAGGUGGGGUGUGGAAGCGCGGUAACGCGUGAAGCUAACCCAUACUAAUUGCCCGUGAGGCUUGACUCU